UUCGGGUUGUAAAGCUCUUUCGGCCGGNCAAGAAAUCGCGUUGGCUAAUACCCAGCGUGGAUGACGGUACCGGAAUAAGAAGCACCGGCUAACUACGUGCCAGCAGCCGCGGUAAUACGUAGGGUGCGAGCGUUAAUCGGAAUUACUGGGCGUAAAGCGUGCGCAGGCGGUUUUUUAAGAUAGGCGUGAAAUCCCCGGGCUCAACCUGGGAACUGCGCUUAUGACUGGAAGACUAGAGUAUGGCAGAGGGGGGUGGAAUUCCACGUGUAGCAGUGAAAUGCGUAGAGAUGUGGAGGAACACCGAUGGCGAAGGCAGCCCCCUGGGCCAAUACUGACGCUCAUGCA
rnacentral:rRNA from 1 species